UUCUUUUCCUACAGCUAAUGAUUUAGGUUCAAAAAUUCAAUAGCAAGGACGAAAGUGGUUUUAAUAACAAACAACCAAGAAAUGUUCAUGUGACAAGAGCAGCAAAUUGUAGUCAGUCUAACAGUAACUGUUUAACGUGCACAGUCUGUCGAUCCUGGUGAUCAGGAUUUAUCUCAAGUGGCAAAAUUAAUCUACAAAUAGUUUUAGUCACAAAACACAGGAGUUUAAAGAUUCCCAGUAAAGUGCUAAGUGUAUUUAUUAUGCCACACACAGUGCAUGGUAGUAACAUAGAACUAUCUUCAUUUGAAGCUUUGUUUGGUAGCAGGGGCAAAACUACCCCCUUUUAAUUUGGGGGUGUCUGCCAGAAUUGCCCUGCCCAAACCGAUGAUGCCCUGCAGCAAAUUUUCAUUUCUGGCCACUGUUUCCCCCAAAAUGCUGGCGAACAGAGGUGGGUGGGUGGGGAGGGGGUGGAAAAUUUUUCUGGACCACCCCCUGAACACCCCCCCCCAACUCAAGUUUCGCCCCUGUUUGGUAGGGAUGCAACUACCUGAAAAAUACAAGGACAAUGUUUCGAGCGAAGGCCCUUCGUCGGGAAGUUUGUUGCGGGGUCUGGAAAAUUACACGAGCUUUUAUGAUCAUGUGACAAAAAUUAAACCAAUCAGAUGCAUUUAGUCAUAACAAAGUAUAUACAAAAAAUAUUAAUAACAAUAUAGAAUAUAUUAAUACAAUUAUACAGAAAACUACAUAUACAUCUACAAAUUAGCAUAUAUCAACACUAUGUUGUUAUUAUUUAAAGUUGCACCUCUCACUUUGUAUAGAUGUUCUUAUUCUGGGUUAGAUAUAUUAUGCUAAUUUGUAUAUAGUAUUAUUUUUACC